GUGAAUCAUCGAAUCUUUGAACGCACAUUGCGCCUUCUGGUAUUCCGGUAGGCAUGCCUGUUUGAGCGUCAGCAAAACACCCUCAGCCUGAGUAUUUUUUGUAUUCAACGCUGGUCUUGGGCGGUGGAUGUUGGGUGGAUAGUCAUUUCCACCUGCGCCCUCCCUAAACUUACUGUACGACCGCAAGCCCCUUCUAGCCAGGUCAAUGGAGUGGUGUUACAAUCUUCCAGAAAGCCUGCUGGUAAACUGCUUUGCGGUGUUUAAACCUUAAUGUCCCCCUCCCAGCGGGGACUGAAGUUU
rnacentral:misc_RNA from 1 species